rnacentral:tRNA from 1 species
UCGAAAACCGAAGACUAAGGGUCUUCUCAAGGU